UUUCCGUAGGUGAACCUGCGGAAGGAUCAUUAUUGGAUUUUGAUACUUCAGGCUGCUGCUGGCUCUCCUCGGAGGGCAUGUGCACGCUUGUUGUCCAUUAUUUCUCCCACUGUGCACAAAUUGUAGACCUUUCAGUAGGCCUAUGUUGUUUUUCACAAUCUCUGAAUGUAAUAGAAUGGUUUUGAAUCUUGGGAAAUACAAUACAACUUUCAGCAACGGAUCUCUUGGCUCUC
rnacentral:misc_RNA from 1 species